GCAAAUUCUAGGCAAUGCCAUUGGGAGGGCUCCUAAAGAUAAGAUAUUCAAGAAGUAUAUAGAGAUAGAGCUGCAACUGGGAAAUAUAGAUCGAUGCCGUAAACUUUAUGAGAAGUAUUUGGUGUGGUCACCUGAAAAUUGUUAUGCAUGGAGCAAGUAUGCAGAGUUGGAGAGAUCUCUGUGUGAAACUGAUCGAGCCAGGUCUAUAUUUGAGCUUGCAAUUGCACAACCUGCACUGGAUAUGCCAGAGUUAUUGUGGAAGGCCUAUAUUGAUUUUGAG
rnacentral:misc_RNA from 1 species